UCCCUUGUGGCUCAGCUGGUAAAGAGCCCUCCUGCAAUGUGGGAGAUCUGGGUUUGAUUCCUUGCUUGGGAA
rnacentral:tRNA from 1 species